GUCUACAGCCAUACCACCCUGAAUGCACCCAAUCUCGUCUGGUCUCAGAAGCUAAGCAGGGUCAGGUCUGGAUGGGAGAAA
ensembl:rRNA 5S_rRNA 5S ribosomal RNA